rnacentral:rRNA from 1 species
GACGAACGCUGGCGGCGCGCCUAACACAUGCAAGUCGAACGGAGCUGCGAGAAGCUUGCUUUUCUUAGCUUAGUGGCGAACGGGUGAGUAACGCGUGAGUAACCUGCCCUGGAGUGGGGGACAACAGUUGGAAACGACUGCUAAUACCGCAUAAGCCCACGAUCCGGCAUCGGAUUGAGGGAAAAGGAUUUAUUCGCUUCAGGAUGGACUCGCGUCCAAUUAGCUAGUUGGUGAGGUAACGGCCCACCAAGGCGACGAUUGGUAGCCGGACUGAGAGGUUGAACGGCCACAUUGGGACUGAGACACGGCCCAGACUCCUACGGGAGGCAGCAGUGGGGGAUAUUGCACAAUGGGGGAAACCCUGAUGCAGCGACGCCGCGUGGAGGAAGAAGGUUUUCGGAUUGUAAACUCCUGUCGUUAGGGACGAUAAUGACGGCACCUAACAAGAAAGCACCGGCUAACUACGUG